GAUGAACGCUGGCGGCGGGCCUAAUACAUGCAAGUCGAGCGAACAGACGAGGAGCUUGCUCCUCUGACGUUAGCGGCGGACGGGUGAGUAACACGUGGAUAACCUACCUAUAAGACUGGGAUAACUUCGGGAAACCGGAGCUAAUACCGGAUAAUAUAUUGAACCGCAUGGUUCAAUAGUGAAAGACGGUUUUGCAGUGACUUAUAGAUGGAUCCGCGCCGCAUUAGCUAGUUGGUAAGGUAACGGCUUACCAAGGCGACGAUGCGUAGCCGACCUGAGAGGGUGAUAGGCCACACUGGAACUGAGACACGGUCCAGACUCCUACGGGAGGCAGCAGUAGGGUAUCUUCCGCAAUGGGCGAAAGCUUGACGGAGCAACGCCGCGUGAGUGAUGAAGGUCUUCGGAUCGUAAAACUAUGUUAUUAGGGAAGAACAAAUGUGUAAGUAACUAUGCACGUAUUGACGGUACCUAAUCAGAAAGCCACGGCUAACUACGUG
rnacentral:rRNA from 1 species